AUGGAGAGUGAAGGUGAAGAUGGAGUUCAGAGAGAGAGAAAAUUGAAGAGCCUUUUGGUGGUGAUUUUUGUAGGUGUUAGGUAUGUUUAUUGCAAGGCUGUUGCUUUUGGUCAUGCUGCAGCAAGGCUUGAUCAACAAGGUUGGAUGGCUAAGCUUCAAUGUUGUAGCAUGAUGAUUAAUGCAAGGCAUGACUGCUCAUAUAAUGGCAUGUUUGGUUUGUCAUGA